rnacentral:tRNA from 1 species
UCCCGCUUAGCUCAGCUGGUAGAGCGCGUCACUAGUAUUUAGCUAAUGACGAGGUCAGUCGUUCAAGUCGGCUAGUGGGAA